CAUGCAAGUCGAGCGGUAAGGCCUUUCGGGGUACACGAGCGGCGAACGGGUGAGUAACACGUGGGUGAUCUGCCCUGCACUUCGGGAUAAGCCUGGGAAACUGGGUCUAAUACCGGAUAUGACCUCCUAUCGCAUGGUGGGUGGUGGAAAGAUUUAUCGGUGCAGGAUGGGCCCGCGGCCUAUCAGCUUGUUGGUGGGGUAAUGGCCUACCAAGGCGACGACGGGUAGCCGACCUGAGAGGGUGACCGGCCACACUGGGACUGAGACACGGCCCAGACUCCUACGGGAGGCAGCAGUGGGGAAUAUUGCACAAUGGGCGAAAGCCUGAUGCAGCGACGCCGCGUGAGGGAUGACGGCCUUCGGGUUGUAAACCUCUUUCAGCAGGGACGAAGCGCAAGUGACGGUACCUGCAGAAGAAGCACCGGCUAACUACGUGCCAGCAGCCGCGGUAAUACGUAGGGUGCAAGCGUUGUCCGGAAUUACUGGGCGUAAAGAGUUCGUAGGCGGUUUGUCGCGUCGUUUGUGAAAACCAGCAGCUCAACUGCUGGCUUGCAGGCGAUACGGGCAGACUUGAGUACUGCAGGGGAGACUGGAAUUCCUGGUGUAGCGGUGAAAUGCGCAGAUAUCAGGAGGAACACCGGUGGCGAAGGCGGGUCUCUGGGCAGUAACUGACGCUGAGGAACGAAAGCGUGGGUAGCGAACAGGAUUAGAUACCCUGGUAGUCCACGCCGUAAACGGUGGGCGCUAGGUGUGG
rnacentral:rRNA from 1 species